rnacentral:rRNA from 1 species
AGCGAACGCUGGCGGCAGGCUUAACACAUGCAAGUCGAGCGGGCACUUUCGGGUGUCAGCGGCGGACGGGUGAGUAACGCGUGGGAACGUGCCCUCUGGUUCGGAAUAACUCAGGGAAACUUGAGCUAAUACCGGAUACGCCCUUUUGGGGAAAGGCUUGCUGCCGGAGGAUCGGCCCGCGUCUGAUUAGCUAGUUGGUGAGGUAACGGCUCACCAAGGCGACGAUCAGUAGCAGGUCUGAGAGGAUGAUCAGCCACACUGGGACUGAGACACGGCCCAGACUCCUACGGGAGGCAGCAGUGGGGAAUAUUGGACAAUGGGCGCAAGCCUGAUCCAGCCAUGCCGCGUGAGUGAUGAAGGCCUUAGGGUUGUAAAGCUCUUUUAUCCGGGACGAUAAUGACGGUACCGGAGGAAUAAGUCCCGGCUAACUUCGUG